UACGGGGGGGGCAAGCGUUGUUCGGAAUUACUGGGCGUAAAGGGCUCGUAGGUGGCCAACUAAGUCAGACGUGAAAUCCCUCGGCUUAACCGGGGAACUGCGUCUGAUACUGGAUGGCUUGAGUUUGGGAGAGGAAUGCGGAAUUCCAGGUGUAGCGGUGAAAUGCGUAGAUAUCAGGAGGAAUACCGAUGGCGAAGGCAGGUCUCUGGGCUGACACUGACGCUCAUGCACGAAAGCGUGGGGAGCAAACAGG
rnacentral:rRNA from 1 species